rnacentral:rRNA from 1 species
AUUGAACGCUGGCGGCAUGCCUUACACAUGCAAGUCGAACGGUAACAGGUUAAGCUGACGAGUGGCGAACGGGUGAGUAAUGUAUCGGAACGUGCCCAGUCGUGGGGGAUAACUACUUGAAAGAGUGGCUAAUACCGCAUACGACCUGAGGGUGAAAGCGGGGGAUCGCAAGACCUCGCGCGAUUGGAGCGGCCGAUAUCAGAUUAGCUAGUUGGUGAGGUAAAGGCUCACCAAGGCGACGAUCUGUAGCUGGUCUGAGAGGACGACCAGCCACACUGGGACUGAGACACGGCCCAGACUCCUACGGGAGGCAGCAGUGGGGAAUUUUGGACAAUGGGCGCAAGCCUGAUCCAGCCAUGCCGCGUGUGGGAAGAAGGCCUUCGGGUUGUAAACCACUUUUGUCGGGGGAGAAACGGUUUGGGCUAAUACCCUGAGCUAAUGACGGUACUCGCAGAAUAAGCACCGGCUAACUCUGUGCCAGCCGCCGCGGUAA